AUUGAAUGCUGGCGGUAGGCCUAAAACACGCAAGUCGAGCGGAGCGGCGGAAGGGUGAGUAAUGCCUAGGAAUCGGCUUGGUAGAGGGGGACAACGUGCGGAAACGGGCGCUAAUACCGCAUAAUAACAGAAGAGCCUAGGUAGGAUUAGCAAGUGGGUGGGUUAACGGCCUACCAAGGCGACGAUCCGUAACUGGACUGAGAGGAUGAUCAGUCACACUGGAACUGAGACACUGUCCUGAUUCCUACGGGAUGCAGCAGUGGGGAAUAUUUGUCGAUGGGCGUAAGCCUGAUCCAGCCAUGCCGCGUGUGUGAAGAAUGUCUUCGGAUUGUAAAGCACUUUAAGUUGGGAAGCGUUACCAACAGAAUAAGCACCGGCUAACUUCGUGCCAGCCGCCGCGGUAAUC
rnacentral:rRNA from 1 species